UACGGGGGGGGCAAGCGUUGUUCGGAAUUACUGGGCGUAAAGGGCUCGUAGGCGGCCAACUAAGUCCGACGUGAAAUCCCCAGGCUUAACCUGGGAACUGCGUCGGAUACUGGAUGGCUUGAAUUCGGGAGAGGGAUGCAGAAUUCCAGGUGUAGCGGUGAAAUGCGUAGAUAUCAGGAGGAACACCGAUGGCGAAGGCAGGUCUCUGGGCCGAUACUGACGCUGAGGAGCGAAAGCGUGGGGAGCGAACAGG
rnacentral:rRNA from 1 species